UACGGAGGGGGCUAGCGUUGUUCGGAAUUACUGGGCGUAAAGCGCGCGUAGGCGGCUUUGUAAGUUAGAGGUGAAAGCCCGAAGCUCAACUUCGGAAUUGCCUUUAAGACUGCAUCGCUAGAAUCGUGGAGAGGUAAGUGGAAUUCCGAGUGUAGAGGUGAAAUGCGUAGAUAUCUGGAGGAACACCGGUGGCGAAGGCGGCAUCCUGGACCGACACUGACGCUGAGGAGCGAAAGCCAGGGGAGCAAACGGG
rnacentral:rRNA from 1 species